GGAGAAUUGCUUGAACCUGGGAGAUGGAGGUUGCAGUGAGCUGAGAUCACGCCACUGCACUCCAGCCUGGGCGACAGAG
rnacentral:miRNA from 1 species